GCUCUCUCUCUGAGAGGAAUGUGGGCACUCAGAAAAGUGAGCGUUUGUUUGGUGCCGACAAGACCAAACACAGACCUUUCCUUCCUUACCUCAGUCUGCUGACCAGGUCAGACUCCCACCCUCCUGCUUCCUGUUCCCUCUCAUGGUGGAUUAGGCACGAUUAGCAGUCGGGUGACUGUGCAGCCGCCUUCUGGAGGGAAACAGCCCAGUCCUUGCCUACUGUGUCUUCCCUGCCUGCCUUUCUCCAGCGUGUCUCCUCUGCCCUCACACAGAACACUUUAUCUCUGACACUUCUGGUCAUCAUAUGUGGAGAAGGUUUCCGCACACCACACAACUCGCUGCCGCACCAGAUGGGUGUCCUACACGUGACUCAGCUUUGACACUGGCUCCCUGGAGAUAGCAUCGGAUCCCACAGGUUAAGGGUUCAGUCCCACCACACGGCCACCCCCGUGCCCCCCGUCAGAUCCCAGCCCUGAGUUGCAGGCUUUUGACCAGCGGGCUAGAGGUCAGAGGUCCAGUGACGCCCUCCUUGGAUUCGAUUAUUUGCUAGAGCGUCUCAUAGGACUCGGGGACACGCUGACUUAACAUUUACCAGUUUGUUAAAGAAUAUGAUGAAGGAUGCACACGAACAGCCGGAUAAACAGAUACGUAGGGCAAGGCCUGGGAGGGCCCUGAGCACAAGAGCUUCUGUCCGUGUGGACUUGGCAAGCAUCAUCCUCCCGGAAUAUGGAUGUGUUCACGCGCCGGGAAGCUCCCCGAAACCCAUGCUCUGGGGAUUUUAUGGCGGCUUCGUAACGCAACUCCGAUCAGUGGUUAACUCCAUUUCCAGCCCCUCUUCCAUUGCUGGAGAAGGGUGGGUGGGGCUGAAAAUCCAGAGCUUGCAGUCACAGCUUGGCCUUUCUGGUCUCCAGCCCCAUCCGCUCACCUCGAGUCACCUCAUUAGAACACGAGAUGCUCCUCGUAUUCUUCUCACGUGGGGAUUUGUCAGGGUUUUAGGAGCUCUGCAACAGGGACCUGGAGCCAAGAGCAGUACUUAUCUCCUAUUAGCUCACAGUCCUGACCGAGGAGCUGUGUUCAGAACUGUUGUCAUAGCUCUAUGUCCCCUGCGAAGCCUUCUCUGCCCGCCCCGAGCAGAACUGACUCCUUUGUAGGCUCCAUUCCCUAUUCUGCCUCUGCCAUUGCCCUGGGAGGACAGGCAGCCCGCCCUCCUGCCCCCCUCCCUUUCCUGUGUGCCUUGGUAAGUGCGGCGUUUCUCCCUCUACGAGGGGAAGCGCCCUCAGUUCAGAGAGGGUGUGUUUGUUUUUAUUAUUCCUUAUAUCCUCUGGACUUAGCAGCUUGAUCUGUGUUCAGUCAGGGAGCUGAAAGAUUGCAUUUCCAGAGGAAGCUCCCUUUACCGCCUCUUCUGUUCUUUAUAACGUUUAAAAUAAUUUAGGGGCAUAAACAUUGCAUCCACUACACGGUCUCAAAUUGUGCGGCGAACAGCAGGGAACAGUUGUGUCGAGAAAGGCGGGGCAGUGUCGUGUUGAAAGACGUGGGUGUGGCGAGCGGAACGCGUGCAUUUUCAUCCCUCUGUCCUCGCUGUGUGACCCUGGGCAAGUGACUUCCCACUGUGCAAAGCCAGUCUGUCCUCCUGUGUCCGGGGUGUCCCGGGGCGGGCGCCAGAUUGAAUCUCUGCUGCGUGUGGAAGUCUGAGGAUGGGACACAGGGUCCCGAUCCCCGAGCCCAGCACUCCGGGCUCAUGAGGAAUGUGCCGUUGCAGGAAUCCUUGACCUUCAGGGAUGUGUUUGUGGACUUCACCCUGGAGGAGUGGCAGCAACUGGACUCCGCUCAGAAGAACCUCUACAGGGAUGUCACGCUGGAGAACUACAGCCACCUGGUGUCCGUGGGAUACCUCGUUGCCAGCCCGGAUGAGGUCUUGAGAUCGGGACGAGGAGAAGAGGCCAGGAGGGCAGAGGGAGGGCCGUCGGCGUGGAACUAUCCAGUAUCCCCCAGUGGUGACAUCUUGCAAAACUAUAAUACAAAAUAGAACCAGGAUAUUGACAUGAAUGCAGCUACUGAAGGGCUUCUAGGCUGCUUCCAGUUUGGGACAUUGUGAAUAAAGCCGCUAUGAAGCUGUCAUUUCCACGUGCAAGUUUUUCUGUGGACUGAAGUUUCAACUCAUGGCUCAUUUCCUUUUAAGAAUUCAGGCAAGUUGGAGACCGGAUAGACAACCACAAGGAAAGCCAAGACCAGCCUCUGUGGCAAGCUGUGUUAGUAGACAAGGAAGCACAGAGGAUCGAAGUGGCCAAGAAUUCACAACCUUCAGAAAAAUCACUUAUCCAGGCUCAGACUUUGUUUCUCUACAGCAAGGACUCUCUAAAUAUUACUCACGGGGAAGGUGUUCAAAACAUAAUUUAAACUUUCUUUACAUAAGUAAAGGCUUUUUUGUUUCAUAAAAAUAGUACAUUAAUGGA